rnacentral:rRNA from 1 species
GCGCAGCAGGCGCGAAUACUUCACACUGUGCGAAAGCACGAUGAGGGAAUCCCAAGUGCUUGCACGUAAGUGUAAGCUGUUUCUCUGUUUAAAACGCAGAGAGAGUAAGGGCUGGGUAAGACGGGUGCCAGCCGCCGCGGUAAUACCUGCAGCUCAAGUGGUGACCGUUAUUAUUGGGCCUAAAGCGUCCGUAGCCGGGCCCGUAAGUCCCUGGCGAAAUCCCACGGCUCAACCGUGGGGCUUGCUGGGGAUACUGCGGGGUCUUGGGGACCGGGAGAGGCGGGGGGUACCCCUGGGGUAGGGGUGAAAUCCUAUAAUCCCAGGGGGACCGCCAGUGGCGAAGGCGCCCCGCUGGAACGGGUCCGACGGUGAGGGACGAAGGCCA